AUACGGAGGAUGCGAGCGUUAUCCGGAUUUAUUGGGUUUAAAGGGUGCGUAGGCGGCUUUGUAAGUCAGCGGUGAAAUUUUGCAGCUUAACUGUAAUAGUGCCGUUGAUACUGUGAGGCUAGGAUUUGGUUGCUGUGGGUGGAAUGUGUGGUGUAGCGGUGAAAUGCUUAGAGAUCACACAGAAUGUCGAUUGCGAAGGCAGCUCACAAAGCCAAGAUUGACGCUGAGGCACGAAAGUGUUGGGAUCAAACAGGAUUAGAUACCCUGGUAGUCCACACUGUAAACGAUGAUAACUCGCUGUCGGCGAUAUACAGUCGGUGGCCAAGCGAAAGCGAUAAGUUAUCCACCUGGGGAGUACGACCGCAAGGUUGAA
rnacentral:rRNA from 1 species